GCUGUCCGAGCCCUGGCGCCUCUCCACCAGCCAGACCCCCCAGCAGCAGAUCAGGAUGUUCAGCCUGGAGGCCCACCCAGACUUCAUCUCCUCCGGCGGGGGCUUUGGGCCGGUGGCUGACGAUGGCUACGGGGUCUCCUACAUCAUUGCCGGGGAGAACCUGAUCACCUUUCACGUUUCCAGCAAGUUCUCCAGCCCUGAGACGGACUCCAAGCGCUUUGGGACGAACAUCCGCCGGGCCAUGGUGGACAUAGCCGCCCUGAUGGAC